UACGUAGGUGGCAAGCGUUGUCCGGAUUUACUGGGCGUAAAGAGCGCGCAGGCGGUCGUUCAAGUCGCGUGUGAAAGCCCCCGGCUCAACUGGGGAGGGUCACGCGAUACUGAUCGACUCGAAGGCAGGAGAGGGUAGUGGAAUUCCCGGUGUAGUGGUGGAAUGCGUAGAUAUCGGGGGAAUACCAGUGGCGAAAGCGGCACCCGUAGCCUUAGCCUGACGCUCAUGUGCGAAAGCGUGGGGAGCGAACGGG
rnacentral:rRNA from 1 species